rnacentral:ncRNA from 1 species
GUAAAGUUUUAUUCUUGCUUUAUUAUUUGUGUAUUGAAUAAUUUACAUAUAUUGAUGAUCUAAAGGGUAUUUUGGUAGUAAUUAAUAUUAUACAAUUAAGGUAAAUUAGAUAUAGUAUUUCUUGAAGUAUUGGUGAAAUGCGUGCCAGCUGCCGCGGUUAGACGUGAAAUACAAGUGAAUAUUGUUGAUUAGAAGUUAAUUGUUAUUAUUCAUAGUAAUUUUAAUUAAUUUUGGUGAAAUAGGUAAGUUAAUAUUUGUUUGAUUGUUAAGAUGAUGAGGCUUUGAAAUAUAAUGAUAGACUAGGAUUAGAUACCCUAUUAUGUAUUAUGUAAAUAGAUGAAUAUCAGGGUAGUAAUAGCUAUGGUCUUGAAACCCAAAGAAUUUGGCGGUGUUUUAGUCCUUUCAGAGGAAUCUGUUCUGUAAUUGAUAAUACACGAUUUAUGUGACUUGAUUUUGUUAUCAGUUUAUAUACCGCCGUCAGUAAGAUUAUCUUGUGGAGAGUAUUAAAUUUCGUUAUAUUUUAUUUUAUAUUAUGUCAGGUCAAGGUGUAGCUAAUAGUUAAGUAGAAAUGGAUUACAAUAAAAAUAUUUAUAUGGAUAAUAGUUUGAAUAAGUUAUUUGAAAGUGGAUUUGAUUGUAAAUUUGGUAUAGAUUGGCUAAUUGAUUAGGGCUCUAGAAUGUGUACAUAUCGCCCGUCGCUCUCGUUUAAGAUGAGAUAAGUCGUAACAUAGUAGAUGUACCGGAAGGUGUAUCUGGGAUGGC